UACGUAGGGGGCUAGCGUUGUCCGGAUUUAUUGGGCGUAAAGAGCGUGUAGGCGGCCAGGUAGGUCUGCUGUGAAAACUCGAGGCUUAACCUCGAGAUGUCGGCGGAAACCAUCUGGCUAGAGUCCGGAAGAGGAGAGUGGAAUUCCUGGUGUAGCGGUGAAAUGCGCAGAUAUCAGGAAGAACACCCGUGGCGAAGGCGGCUCUCUGGGACGGUACUGACGCUGAGACGCGAAAGCGUGGGGAGCGAACAGGAUAGAUACCCGGUAG
rnacentral:rRNA from 1 species